rnacentral:ncRNA from 24 species
GUUUUGUACAGUUUGGGUAACCAGGGAAAGAGCCCGAUGAAACCCGGCAACCUGUCCUUUUAAGGAUAAGGUGCCAAUUCUCUCAGAAGAUUUUUUCUUCUGAAAGAUGAGGG